CUUACAAUUACGUAUGUGGCGCAUGUUGCAUUUCUGUUCGACAGUGCCGAGACCUUCAUGGGCACUCGGGGAAGAUGUUCUCACCAGCAUCCCCGAGGAGUCCGAGGUAAGUCCUUCGCUCGCCCUGUGGGGAGAAGACUGACGGAUACUUUAGGAAGGCAGGCCUAGGAGGCCGAGAGCCUGGACUAGAUGGAUGCCGGAGUUUGGGUAAGGAGGUACAUCAGAGCAAGACCCCGGAAUCAAGAGAUAAAGUUGGCCUUUUCAAGUGCUGGAACAGUGCUCUGGUAACCUGCCCUGUGUUUGCGGCUCUUUAAGCGACACAGUAGUCACGCCAUGUUUCCCUGGCUGCAGGCCGUGCCCAGUGCUCCGCGAAAGCCCCAGCAAACUCCUGCAGGUCGUGAGCUCUCUCUGCAGAGUGUGUCCCUCCCAGUUCUCCAAGGCAGACUCUGGCCGCCUUCACAUCCCUUCCUGGGACCCCAGCUCCUCUCCCAGCUCUGCCUGGCACCCCUGCCCUGCACCCACCCCACACUUCUGCAGGCAGCAAGCCAGCGGCAGAGGGCGCACCU